UGCCAGACUCCUACGGGAGGCAGCAGUGGGGAAUAUUGCACAAUGGGGGAAACCCUGAUGCAGCGACGCCGCGUGAGCGAUGAAGUAUUUCGGUAUGUAAAGCUCUAUCAGCAGGGAAGAAAAUGACGGUACCUGACUAAGAAGCCCCGGCUAACUACGUGCCAGCAGCCGCGGUAAUACGUAGGGGGCAAGCGUUAUCCGGAUUUACUGGGUGUAAAGGGAGCGUAGACGGCAAUGCAAGCCAGAUGUGAAAGCCCGGGGCUCAACCCCGGGACUGCAUUUGGAACUGUGUAGCUGGAGUGUCGGAGAGGCAGGCGGAAUUCCUAGUGUAGCGGUGAAAUGCGUAGAUAUUAGGAGGAACACCAGUGGCGAAGGCGGCCUGCUGGACGAUGACUGACGUUGAGGCUCGAAAGCGUGGGGAGCAAACAGGAUUAGAUACCCCUGUAU
rnacentral:rRNA from 1 species